UGGGGAAUAUUGCACAAUGGGCGGAAGCCUGAUGCAGCGACGCCGCGUGGGGGAUGAGGGCCUUCGGGUUGUAAACUCCUUUCGACAGGGACGAAGCUUUUGUGACGGUACCUGUAUAAGAAGCACCGGCUAACUACGUGCCAGCAGCCGCGGUAAUACGUAGGGUGCGAGCGUUGUCCGGAAUUACUGGGCGUAAAGAGCUCGUAGGUGGUUUGUCGCGUCGUCUGUGAAAUUCCGGGGCUUAACUCCGGGCGUGCAGGCGAUACGGGCUGACUUGAGUGCUGUAGGGGAGACUGGAAUUCCUGGUGUAGCGGUGAAAUGCGCAGAUAUCAGGAGGAACACCGAUGGCGAAGGCAGGUCUCUGGGCAGUAACUGACGCUGAGGAGCGAAAGCAUGGGUAGCGAACAGG
rnacentral:rRNA from 2 species